GACGAACGCUGGCGGCGUGCCUAACACAUGCAAGUCGAACGGGGAUAAAGAGGAAGUGAUUUAUCAUGGAAUUUUUAUUCUAGUGGCGAACGGGUGAGUAACGCGUGAGCAACCUACCUUUUUGAGGGGGAUAACACUUGGAAACAGGUGCUAAUACCGCAUAAGACCACAUGAUCACAUGGUCAAGGGGUCAAAGGAGCAAUCCGCAAAAAGAGGGGCUCGCGUCCCAUUAGAUAGUUGGUGAGGUAACGGCUCACCAAGUCCGCGAUGGGUAGCCGAGCUGAGAGGCUGAUCGGCCACACUGGAACUGAGACACGGUCCAGACUCCUACGGGAGGCAGCAGUGGGGAAUAUUGCACAAUGGGGGGAACCCUGAUGCAGCGACGCCGCGUGAGUGAAGACAGUCUUCGGAUUGUAAAGCUCUGUUGUGGGGGACGAAGAAGUGACGGUACCCCACGAGGAAGCCACGGCUAACUACGUGCCAGCAGCCGCGGUAAUACGUAGGUGGCAAGCGUUGUCCGGAAUUACUGGGUGUAAAGGGAGCGUAGGCGGGACAACAAGUUGGAUGUGAAAUCCACAGGCUCAACCUGUGGCGUGCAUCCAAAACUGUAGUUCUUGAGUGAUGUAGAGGCAGGCGGAAUUCCUAGUGUAGCGGUGAAAUGCGUAGAUAUUAGGAGGAACACCAGUGGCGAAGGCGGCCUGCUGGGCAUUAACUGACGCUGAGGCUCGAAAGCGUGGGGAGCAAACAGGAUUAGAUACCCUGGUAGUCCACGCGGUAAACGAUGAUUACUAGGUGUGGGGGGACUGACCCCUUCCGUGCCGGAGUUAACACAAUAAGUAAUCCACCUGGGGAGUACGCCGGCAACGGUGAAACUCAAAUGAAUUGACGG
rnacentral:rRNA from 1 species